rnacentral:rRNA from 1 species
CCUACGGGAGGCAGCAGUCGGGAAUAUUGCGCAAUGGAGGAAACUCUGACGCAGUGACGCCGCGUGAAGGAAGAAGGUUUUCGGAUUGUAAACUGCUUUAGACAGGGAAGAAAAAAGACAGUACUUGUAGAAUAAGCUUCGGCUAACUACGUGCCAGCAGCAGCGGUAAUACGCAGGGAGCAAGCGUUAGGCGGAUUUAUUGGGUGUACAGGGUUCGUAGUCGGAGAAGCAAGUUAAGUGUGAAAUCCCUCGGCUUAACGGAGGAACUGCAACUAAAACUACUUCCCUUGAGUGCUGGAGAGGAAAGUGGAAUUCCUGGUGUAGGAGUGAAAUGCGUAGAUAUUAGGAGGAACACCAGUGGCGAAGGCGACUAUCUGGACAGUAACUGACGUUGAGGCACGAAAGUGUGGGGAGCAAACAGGAUUAGAUACCCUAGUAGUC